UCCGGUUUGUCACCGGCAGUCUCCUUAGAGUGCCCACCAUAAUGUGCUGGUAACUAAGGACAAGGGUUGCGCUCGUUACGGGACUUAACCCAACAUCUCACGACACGAGCUGAGGACAGCCAUGCACCACCUGUGAAAGUGCCCCGAAGGGAAAGUGUGUUUCCACACCGGUCACUCACACGUCAAGCCCAGGUAAGGUUCUUCGCGUUGCGUCGAAUUAAACCACAUGCUCCGCUGCUUGUGCGGGCCCCCGUCAAUUCCUUUGAGUUUUAGCCUUGCGGCCGUACUCCCCAGGCGGGCAACUUAAUGCGUUAGCUUCGGCACGGGGGGAGUCGACACCCCCCACACCUAGUUGCCAUCGUUUACAGCGUGGACUAC
rnacentral:misc_RNA from 1 species